rnacentral:rRNA from 1 species
CACGUAGGGGGCGAGCGUUGUCCGGAAUCAUUGGGCGUAAAGAGCUCGUAGGCGGUUCGGUAAGUCGGGUGUGAAACCUCCAGGCUCAACCUGGAGACGCCACCCGAUACUGCUGUGACUAGAGUCCAGUAGGGGAGCGUGGAAUUCCUGGUGUAGCGGUGAAAUGCGCAGAUAUCAGGAGGAACACCAGCGGCGAAGGCGGCGCUCUGGGCUGGAACUGACGCUGAGGAGCGAAAGCUAGGGGAGCAAACGGG